GUUAGUUAGUUAGUUAGUUAGUUAGUUAGUUAGUUAGUUAGUUAGUUAGUUAGUUAGUUAGUUAGUUAGUUAGUUAGUUAGUUAGUUAGUGAAUUAGUUAGUUAGUGAAUUAGUUAGUUAGUUAGUUAGAUAGUUAUGGUCAGUUAGUUUGUUCGUUAAUUAGUUAGUGAACUAAUUAGCUAGCCAGUUAGUGCAAAUGUGGUAAGUGGGACGGAAAUCUUCUCUGUUCUUUUUGUUUUUUCACAGGAUUUUAAUUCUAUUGUGUCUUGAUACACAGAUUACGGCAAAAACUAUAAAAGGUAUGUGAGGUUUUAUAUUAGAUUUUACUCUUAUUCAAAUGUAUCACCAUAGAAUAUAUAUAUAAUACCUAUGAACGGUUUCAUAAUUUUGAUGCACCCAAAAUCUUGACUUUUUUUCAGAAAGUCAUUAUGCCAUGUGACGUCACAUGCAGUGAAAAAAAUUUGCACAUCCAAAAUUGUUAAAUAUCUCAAAACGAAGUAAGCUAAGAAAGUUUGCCAAAGUAUCUUACUUGCUCAUUUUUAAUUUUCUUCGUAAUCGUAAAAAAUGGUGUGAAAUUUUUUAACAGUGGAAUCGUGAAAAAUCUAGUGAAAAUUCGUUCAAUAUGCUAUAUACUUUAGGGGCUGAGGUUUCCUGAGGACUCCAAACACACAUAUACGCGGUUCGAGUAGUAUUAUAAUUAUUCCAAUAACAUACGGAGUGUAUAUUAUUAUAUUAAUAGCUCUAUUUCAUGGCGACGCCGAGAACUCACUGACUGUUACAUAAUAUCAAGAAUUGUGUAUAAUUACAACGCGUCCCCAUCUGCUAAGAGUAGCAACGAUUAAUAGUUUAAUUUAAAAAUGGCCAUAUCUUGUUUGGAAGAUUAUACUAAUAAUUUGUUAUGACUCUGCGGUCGUCUGAACCGUGGUCUGAAUCAACGGAAGCGUCAACGUUUGUGACUGCGUCAAAACUAUUCAGGGCUUUCAAGUUCCAAACUGCCGUCGGACUAUGUCUAUAGAUUCAUCUCGCUUUUUCACCAAUUUCACGGUCUGCGGCUAUUAGUACGCCUGUUUUCAUUGACUUUGGAAUAUUUCGUGCGAUGUUCUCAACAAUUUUGUCAAAGUUUGCAUAGCAAGUUUUCCUCGCAUUUCAAUCGUUUGAAAUUGAAUUAAGACCGCGACGAUCAAGCCUUGCAGCUUUUCAUGAGAUGGAAGCCUUUGCCGUGCAUAUAUAUAUAUAUAUAUAUAGUCCGCUGUGAUAAAUUUUCUCGCGUGUACAAUAUUUAUAUUGCGCCUGACGUGAAUUUUCAAGAGCGUCAUGUUAGGUGUAAUAUUGUCAGACGACACAAGCAGAGAUACUUAUCAUACGGUCGACAGUUUUUUGACAAGUAAGUCUCGUUUGUAAAAGCUAUAGUGAAGCAAGCUUAAUUUGGACAAGAUAAACACGGCGAACUUCAGUUUAUUGUACACAUAUCAUAUGCACGUGAAAUUGUAAAAGCAAACUUGUUAGAGUUUAGUGACGCCACUGUGAUCGCAGGAACUUUUGAACCAGCCAUAAACCGGCAUCUAUGUUAAUUAACAUCAUAUCACAUAUGUGAUAUGACAUCCUAAUUUCCAAAAGAUGGAAAUUCCACUAUUUGCCAGAAUGAUUCUCAGAAAAUAUACUUGUACACUUGCAAGUCCGAAUAAUAAACUUAAUUUCUCAAUUGACUGGUUAGUGGUUUAAUUCACUCUUUCGCAAAGACUGAAAACACUGAAAUUUUAAGCCGUUUGUGAAGUCAAAAAGUGUAGUAAGAAAUUGCAAGAAUAUAAAUGUCUGCAUUGCCUUGUAAAUGCCCAGUGGAAAGCCAUCUCAAUUUCCAAAGAACUCUAUUAUAGGACAGAAAUUGUCCAGGGUAUCUUACUCACAUGUCUACAUUAAUAUUUUUGCAUGUACUGUAGAAAGCUAUCUCAAUUUCAAAUACGAAAGCUGUUGUAGGCCUACACAAGACAAUAUAAUGUUGCUUGUCGUUUUGUACAUGUGUAAACAAAGAUUCAUUCCAAACAAAUUAGACUGUCUGCUGUAGGAUGUUUGACGAGCCGAAAUUUCCGCCAAAUUAUUUAACGAAAGCGUCAGGCUUUAAAACGCUCUUAAAAUCACUUAUAGCAGCGCCGUAUAUUGCUAAUAUUUAGUUAACAAGCGCGUAUAUAUCAAGGUACCAGUUUCUGAUUGGUCGCUGCCUCGCGUUGCUGGUCACGUGGUGAAACAUCUUCCUGCCACCUGUCGCAAGCAUGGUGUGUUGCCAGGCAACGGGAAGUCGGACAAUCUAACAUCUGCCAUGCACCUGUGGCUUCCCAGCGCUUCGAGCAUAUCGUUAAUAUAACCUUGAUUCUAAUGAUAAAUACGCUCUCUGAUCUUAUUACGAAAUGACUGCAAUAUUACGACCCGACUGUCAAAAUAAUAUUUGGCGUAAACUUUUAGUAUACUAUUUUUAAAACUUAUGCAAGUCGGCAGGUGAAUUUCGAGAGAGAAAAUUCGCGCAUUUUACAUCACAAAAACUCAAUCAGGAGUUUAAUAGCUCCUUGCUCAUGGAUGUAAAUAUUAAAAUAAAACAAAUUUUUAAAAAAGUGCAUCUUGAAAGGUUCACUGCAGUGCAUGUCAAAAUUUAUCACGUCGUGGUAUGUGACUAUUUCAAAGUCUUUACACGAAAUGACUGUAUAGACUAAAUAUAUCUGAGCUUGAAGUUUAAUGAUUCAGUAUUAAGGAACUAUAAAAGUAAUUAUACUCGAUAAUUCUUGGUUGCAAACAGUUUUGUCUAGAUUCAUGUCCAGUAGUUCAUCGUCUGGUUAACACUAUCAAAGUUUCUGUGAUCACAGUAGGAAUUUUGCAUAGGUAAAUUCUAAGUUUUGAAGGAUUUGUAAGAAAUGUUUGAAAGAACUGACCUAGUGUUUCACACUGAGUGAGUUAGCUAGUUCCAAUCAAAACAUCUCAAACAAAACCUUUAAACAUUUACCGAUGCAAAAUUUCCUACUGUGGUCACAAAAACUUGGAUAGGGUAUAAACCAACCUUUACAACAGGAGGAAAUUGGGGUACAUAAAGAGAAGCUGUGGUUUUUGAAGGGACAAAUUGGAAACAUUCUUCUCACUGGACGCUGAGGCAAAUGUCACUGACAUAUCACAGACACAAAAACUCAUAUUAACUAAUGUUUCGCCCUAUAGUACUUUCAUCGGCCUAUAGCUAGUUAAAUAAUGUAGGUGCAUGUUGAACAGAACAAACUGAUAGCGAGGUCGUCUUCCUAAGGAGACAGAUUUUUACCAUAUAGUAGUAAACAUUUUAUUUAAACAUGCUGACCAUAUCAACUUAAAGCUGCUUUCCACAAGGGGCGUGCAAAAAAUAUUAAACUGAAACUAGUAGAAGUAAGCAAUUUACAGGGAUUUAGAAAAGAACUAAGCUAUACAUUGUAUAUUGAUCUAUUAACAACAUAGGUUAUUGUAAUGUUACGUCAAAGGUGUGAGUAGCAAUUUAUUUUUGAAACAAGAGAGGGAUUUGGUUCCUUACACGGAUGCUCCAUCAAACGUAUCUGUUUCCAGUCACCGAUUAAAAUUAGUCACCUGCAGUGGACUGAAAAAUUAUAAAUUUCCCUUAAAGCUAGGUUACGGUUUUCAAAUGGACUUGAAUGAAGAGAAAGACAAAUGAUGUAACUACACAUGCAGUGAUGUAACUUUAGGGCCUCGUAUAAAUUCAUUAAUGAUGAUGUUCAAUGAGUCAGGAUUUUGCAAUGAUUUUCAAAUCUCACAUAGCAAAACAGUAUGAAUAUUUAAUCACUUGCAGCAGGUUUCCGCUGGUCGAAGUCCGUCGAUCGAAAGAUCAAGACAAACAAACCACCCUGAAUCGGAAUACCGUAUAAUGACUAAUGUAUAUACGCGUCUUAUGCAAUACUUGAAAAAUCUAGUGCAAGUUAAGAAGAAUAGGUUAUGCAAAGCAAACUUUUAGCAAUUUUCCUAACUUUUAUAAUAACGCUUGCUGAAGUCAGGAUUUUGGCUUUUGUUUGAUUUAAUAGGGUCAUUGAUUUUUAGAUUAAUGUCCUGUAAUGGUUAUGUUUAUACCCGCACUUGUUUUGUCGCGAGAUAUGUAGUCUGCACGCAAUGAUAACAUGAUCAGUGAAUAUAGCAAUGCCAUAGUUGAAAUCAUCAGCUUUUCUAUAUAAUGAAUAUCCAGGUCAAAACUUGUCAAAAUCUUAUCCAGGUCAAAACUUUUACGUAUUAGAUCAGUGUUAUGUUAUAUAAGUUAGUACUAAAAAUUGCACUGAAUAUUAGAAGUUGCUUGCUUUAGAGGAUUUAUAAGAAAUGUUUGUGGGAAUCGACUCCUUGAACCGGGUUUUGUGCUCUUUCGAUUCAGACUGGACUGCAUUUGUACAAUUGUACCCAAGGAUAAUCUGCGUUAUCGAUGUUACGACAGCAUUUAAUUAGUUUAUGUGUAAUUUUGCGCAGAAUUAAAUAAAUGGUUGGUAAUACUGCAAAUCUGCAAAUAGAAGUUCGAUGUUCUCCUUCUGAUGCCUGUGAACGAGUAGAUAACGGUUAUGAGUACAUGCACAGGUUAUUUCGCUGGCCUCAGAGUGACAAAACGUAACAACUAACAAGGCAACGGUUUUACUAACAGAACCCUAUUCCAAACACCAACCCUAACCUAACCCUACUCCAAGUUUGUUUCUAAACCAAUCUUGAAGAAAAAAGUUUUGACGAAAUGUCAUUUUGAGGUCAGCAAAAUAACUUCUUCCUAUACAUGUACUCUCAUCUGAACAUUCAUAGCUUACCCACUCGUUUAGAUCCACCAGAAGAAGGAAAUCGCAUAGCCCAGUUGGCUAGGGCGCCGGGCCGCAGGUUCGAGGGCCUAUAGAUUCGUAACUGCUCCUGACUAGGCCUAAAAAUCUAUAUAGGUUUGCGUUCGUAAAUUUCAACUCCAAAAAUUAUGAAACUGUUUGGAAAUUACUGGACAGGAAAUUGUUGCCAAAAUUUCAAACAGACAAGAUUUGAAUCCUAUUCGGAAUCUGUUUCGUUGUAUAUUUUAUUAAAAGUCUUGUUUAUUGUGAAUUAGUUUGAUGACGACAAAUGUUUAAAGUUUAAACUAGCCAACAUCAAUACAUGGCUAUGAUUUCAUCAGAUUGCGAUUCGUGACAUAUCGUAUACCUGCCAAAAUCAAUUCAUGUUGUUGACUUAGCUGUAUAUAAUAUAUUCAUUUGCUUUUCAUCUCCUAAUCGAUUUGUCAUCUAUUUACAGGUUUGCGAGGGAUACCACCAGUUAGCCUGCAAACAACAACUCCUUUAUGAAUUCCAUCCGAUGGAGGUCAGUUUGGAUAUAAAUCUUUUUCUGGCUUUUGCCCACCCAAGUAAAAUAAUUAAGACCAUUUAACGAUGUGUGUGUUUCGCCAAAUUCUAUAAUUAAGAGCGUUUAGCCUGCAUGGCUGGAUAUGGCGGCGAUUGAAAAAAAUUUACAUGAUUGAAGAAUUAAAAUGUCACGCAAAAGAUAAGAUGUAUAUAAUAAUAGUUUCUAUUUUGAAAUAACGUUUAACAUCGGUACAAAAAGGACUUUUCUUUUCGACUUUCGCCAUAUUUUUAGCAUAACAUUAUAAUUACACAUUAAAAACAUUUCGAUCCAAUAAUAGACUUUGCCUGUUUAUUGAGCUUUUGAACCCCAAUGACCUCGUUUUCAUGCGUGCCUGUUUUUAACAUCACAGACGCACAUGAAGUUUAUAUCGUAAUGUUUCGUGAACGAAUAUAUGUUUCUCUUUGAUCUUGAGCCCAAUCACAAACCUAACUGUUCCUCUGUUCAUCUUAUGCGCCUUUCAUUCUUUUACCUCUAAAUUCGUGGGUUCAUUUCUCGCUACGGACUCAUGACUCAUGUGAAACGAGUCAGUCAACGCUCUGCCGAAAGUCGUGGGUUCUCUCCGGGCGCUCCGGUUUCCUACCCACUUGCAGGGCAAGUUGGCGGGGUUGGGUUAGGAUAAACCCAGUUAGGAAAGUAAUAUCUCAAAUGUUGUUAAGUUAAAUAAUCUAGACUCUAGGCUAAGUAAGUAACAUAAGCGUAAUAUACUUGGAUGUAAUCAGUCGCCGAAAAUCCCCAAUGGGGAGUGAGCUGAUGUAAUGUAAUGGGUUGCAUGCAUGGUAUUAUUGGUUCUCUUAAAAGCAAGAAGGAUUCAGAUUGAUAAGGUCUGCAACUACCUGAAAAAUACAAGGAGAACUUCGACGUUUCGAGUGACUGAGGCCCUUCGUUUCAUGCGAAGGCCUAAUUUCACGACUAACGCCUGUAUUCUAAAAUCUUACACCAAAGAGUGGAGGUUCAAUCUGAGCUUCCCUUGAGUGUCAAUGCUGUUUUUGAAUAGCUGAAGGGUUCAGUGUCGUACAUCACUAUGUGACUACUCACCCUCCAGCUAUUCAAAAACAGCAUUGACACUCAAGAAAAGCUCAGAUUGAACCUCCACUCAUUGAGUGUGAGUGAACUUUUAGAAUACAGGCAAAAGGGCCUUCGGUCGAAAUGUGGAAAUUCUCCUUGUAUUCCCAUCAAUCAGAAGCUUUCCUAUUAUUGCCACCACCUUCAUUGGCACAAACCUUCUUCUUAAAACUAUACCCUGACCCUGUACUGACUAGAAAUGUUUCCUUCACAGCAAAAAUUGAUAUACAAGGAAUACAAGAUAGCAAUAAAACACAAAUCGGAUUAACUUGCCAAGGAACCCGUCAAGGU
rnacentral:lncRNA from 1 species